rnacentral:rRNA from 1 species
GACGUAGGGCGCGAGCGUUGUCCGGAAUUAUUGGGCGUAAAGGGCUCGUAGGCGGUCUGUCACGUCGGGAGUGAAAACUCAGGGCUUAACCCUGAGCCUGCUUCCGAUACGGGCAGACUAGAGGUAUGCAGGGGAGAACGGAAUUCCUGGUGUAGCGGUGAAAUGCGCAGAUAUCAGGAGGAACACCGGUGGCGAAGGCGGUUCUCUGGGCAUUACCUGACGCUGAGGAGCGAAAGUGUGGGGAGCGAACAGG